GGCGAAUGCGGCGCCGGGAGGGCGACCCUCGUGCCCGGAGGCCGGAGCGAAGCAGCCUGGCCACCGCCGUCCGGGGUUUGUGUGCAGACAUCCUCAGGUGGGGCGGAGAGAGGCCCCCGCGUUCCCUUUGAGAUCGGCGUGUUAAGGAGACAACCAGCAGGACGGGGUCCCGCGGAGAAAGCGUUGCCUCCAGAGCUUGCCGGUGUUUUGUUCCCCCUGGUUUCUGCGAGGCACAGCUGUGGCUUUAUUCCAGCGUCACAUCGCGUCCAUUGGUAUCAGAGUCAAUAAGAUCAGUACUUACAUACAUUGGCUCUGGGAGGAGCGCAUCUGCCGAGGCGCCAUGCAUGACACAGUGGCAGCACAUCGUGUCUGCUGGAGCGAUCAGUGUCACCCAUGGCCAGCUACACGACCUAGGGAGUGUGCACAGAGGAUAUUUGCUGCUUCUGAAGUUCUGGAGAUCUUUUUUUAUAGAAUCAUGAAAUCAUUUGAUCUGGAAGGUCUCCCCAAAGGCCACCUAGUGCAAAUACCCUGCAAUGAACUGGGACACCUACAGCAGAUCAGGGUGCUCAGAGCCCACUGCAGCCUGACCUUGCAUGUCUGUGUCGAUGGGCACCCACCACCUCUCUGGGCAACCUGUUCUAGUGCUUCACUGCCCUUAUUGUAAAUAACUGCUUCCUUAUGUCCACUCUAAAUCUCCCCUCUUUUAGUUUGAAACCAUUUACCCUUGUCUUGUCACAACAGACCCUACUAAAGAGUCCUGCUCUGGGUUUGUUCCCCUUUGCCUUGCUCCCAGCCUGGCUGUCACAAGCAUCCUUCUGUUGGCUGUCCAUAAGGCCUUCCGAAAUUCCUCAGCUCAUCUCUUUGUGUCAAGGCCAAAUGGUGCCAACAAAUUGCCUGCUGCUCCUGCAUCCCUCCCUGUGCUCCUGCAAUGCAUGAGGUCCAGUCCUGGAAUGCGUGGAGAGUUGUAGGGAGGAAAUAAAGCUGGUUUGUUGGUAGCCAGCUUCUGGAGUCAAACAAUUCACCACUGUUUUGUAUCAUGCUACCAGGAGAAUUAUCUUUAGCUAUGAAACAAGAGCCCUGAGCAACUGUAGGUAUGGAGGAAGCCAUGACACAUUUCUCACAAGAUGAGAGGUGAUAAAAUGAAUAUUUACAUGCUGGUUUGCACUCUGCCUCUCUACAUUAUCUCUUCAUUUUCAGCUGGGCAAGCCCUGAAGUGAUCUGGUUUGCUGGUAAAUCUGUCCUGAGCUGCUUCCUCAGCACAACUGCUGCUUGCUUUCUUCCCCAUCAGAGGCACAUGAAGAAACUACCGUUCCUUCUGUGGUCCUUGGCUAUGCCAUAGUUACAUGUGCUGCUUUUACAUCUUCACUGCAACAUCUGCUUCCCAGUGAGUACUCCGGUCUCCCAUGGAAGUCACACCAGCACUAUCCAUGCUUUGCCACUAUGCCUAUCAGCCUACAACUGGGAGAGUAUUCACCUAAACCCCUUGCUGGCACGUGGGCAGUGCCAGGAAUAUGCAGGAUCUGAAACCAUAGGUGACACCUGCUAGCCAUGACUCAAUGAAAGCGAAUGAAAGAUGUGAUGCAGUAAGCACUUGGCUCUAGCUCUUUUAAUUGGAGUUUCAUUUUUAUUCGUAUUUCUUUUCUGUCUGCUUUUCCAAAGUUUCAUAACACAGGAAGCCAAUUCUUGUGGAUGGUGAACAAACCAUUGACAAUCCCAUGGUGGGAAUUUUCGUGCAUCGGGUACACGUGCACUGUCUGCAGAUCAGACUUCUUACUCACUUUACCUUCCGUCACUGCAGUCACAUUCAUGGAUUGCCCCUGGCCUGAUAGACUUUAACUAUCUGCAAAGGAGUGCUCUAAAUUUAAUUUGCAUGCAGGUAGAGUUUCUGUUCUUGAGUAAACGUUAUGUCUUUACUGAGUAACAUAAACAGACUUAUCUUUUGCAGAAUUUGCAUAUUCUGCCAGAAUAUGUUUUGUGAUAGUCAUUACUAAAGGAGACUUGCUUAAGAGGAUUCAAACAAAGAGCAAUUAUUGGUGCAAAUGUAUAUAUCUGUGUUAAUAACACUAGGGAAAAAAGAAACUUGAGAAGGUGUGACAUACAUAUAUGUAGGCUUUGGGAUUUUUUGCUUUGUUUGUUUUCUAAAGCUAUAAAUGAAAUGAAAUUGUCUUGUCAGUAAUUAAUUAAAGGAGAUACUUUUCAGCAGGAUCAUUCAUUAGAUCAUGACAUUCAUGUAGCACAAGGCUAUCAUGUGUUUGUUUUCCCCAAAGCAGAUCAGCCAUAUGAGUAAAUCUAAUUUCACUGUCUUUCAGGAAUGCUCUAUAUACAGAAGCAGAUCAAGAAUAAAAUGCAAAAGUAAUUCUGGGCUAUGUGGCCAAGGGUGAUUUGCAUUUAUAUGCUAUCUUUCAGCUAAAGAGAUCCCAAAGCAGUUCUGUGAAGGGAAAAAAAAAUAGAGAGAGAGAACUAUUUCACCAAGUCUGAAAUGCAGCAUCUGUUUAACAGCAGAGAAAAACACUAGGAAUCGCAUGCACAGUUGUAAUAGAAACGUGAAUUUAGAUAGACAGAAAGUUAUUAUGCAAAUCACAUGGCCAUGUUAUCAGGGCUAGUAGGUGUGUUCCUGCAGAAUGUGCAACGCAGUCAUAGGUAGUCGUGGCUUUCCUUAAUAAUACAUCAAUGCCAAGUGAUACAAGAGAGCCACACGUGGAAAUAAAUUUAGUAUUUCUCCAUUUGAAAAAAAUGUGACAGUAUGCAUACAGUAUACAGCAUUAGGGUAUGCAUGAAUUUCAGCAGGUAUUGCUGUUCAUGUCAUUCCUGUGUUCUGGGGGAAAAAUAUCUUUUUUUUCCUGCCUCAGUGAAUAGAAAAGCAGCCAAUUCCAGGAUAAGUGUGUCUACAUAUAGGGCUGUUGUAGUAUAUCCAGAGAUGUUUGUAAAGAUGCAAGAGCAAAAAGCCUUUCCUUGAAAAUCUGCAGAAAGAUUUCUUGCUGAGUCAACUUUUUGCAGUGCCUCCCAUCCAUCUCCUAAGCAAGUUCAGUAUACACCAGGUGCUUCUUUCCUUUAGUGAGAAUUUUAUCAUGUUUGUACUGAACUCGGUUCAUAGAAAAUAGAUAUAUUCAAAUCUAGGUUUAAAGCACGAAAGAAAAUGUUUUCAAUGCUGUGUUAAAUGGCUGAGAUAUCAAAUGUACUGCUGAAAAAAAAAAAAGAGAAGGCAUCUUUCUACUGAUUAUUUUAAUUGUAGGGGAACCACGAAGAUGCCACUUAGAAUAUUACCUAUACGUAAAUAUCACAUUUACGUUAGUGAAACACUAAUGCAUCCUUGAAAUAUUUUCUAACCAUGAUUAUGUGUCUUUACAUCACCAGUGGAUGACAGAUAUCUGUGGCUUCUGGUGCUUUGCAGGAAUUGGUAAGACCUAAAUUUUACAACAAGGCUCCCUGGACUGACACAGCAAUGCUGGAUGCUACUCUGGUAUGAUGGGGUAAUGAAUCAGUUGCUGGAAGCCUUCAACAUGCGCUGAACAUCACCCUAGAAAUGAAACAAAGGGGAAAGUUUUGCUGGUGGCAGAAAGGAUAUAAUCUCCUCGUGGAGAUUCAGACUCUUCAUCGUAUGAACCGUUUCAGAGAGGCAGAGAUGAAGGUGCGGAAAGAGGACAGGGCAAGAGGAAGAACGUUGCACGAUGAAGAACCUGGCAGAGGCCAAUCAGUCAAAAAAAAAAGGAAAAACUGUGGCAAGGAAGUAUAUCUAAGGAAGCAAAGAAGGAAAAGAUGCAACUGCUCACCUGGCUGCCACAUCAUUUUCUUUGUCCCACGUGUACCAAUACCAAGAAAACAGGAACAAAAAAUUGAGGCUGAAGGACUGGACAAUCUGUGUCAGUCAUUUAAAUUAAAAAAUAAAGUUCAUUUCCAGUUUGCAAACUUGCAUUACUUACCACAGGCUUUGCUGAGAUGUGGGACCAAACAAUUAAAUUAUUAAAAUAUUGCUUGACAAAGUAGAAAUGUUCUGUCACUAUUGUUUUUCAGUAAGUGCGUUUUCCAAGGCAGCGAACAACUCAGUUUAGAAUAUAAAAAAAAUAUUAAAAUGUAUUCUAUGUCUGUCUAAUAAUAGUAAUCUAUCUGAGGACCAAACAAAAUAAGUAACACCAUCUACUUCCCACUGAGUAAGAACCUGCAAUACAAGAGUAAGAACUUGCACAUUGUUCAAAAAAGAAAAACCUAAGAAGGACCAUAUCACUUAAUCACCCCAUGGCUUCUGAUUUCAGUUCUAUGGCGUAUCGAUGGGGAAGCACACAGCUCUUUCCUGUGUGUCUGUCGACUUGUUUCCAUGAGUGACUGCCAGACACAAAGCCAAGUUUCUUUACAGUAGAACAAUCCAUGGUAGGACUGGAGAGCAGUAUCUCUCUUUAGUAUAGGCCCAGAGAGGUUGUGGAUGCCCUGUCCCUCGAGGUGUUUAAGGCCAGGUUGGAUGGGGCCCUGGGCAAUCUGAUCUAGUACUUGAUCUAGCAGCUGGCAACCCUACCUGUGGUGGGGAGGCUGGAACUUGAUGAUCCUUGAGGUCCCUUCCAAGCCAAGCCAUUCUAUGAUUCUAUGAUUCUAUGACUUGGAGGGGAAAAAUAUUUUCAAGACGUUAAAUGGCUUAACAGCUACUUGAUCAACUUAGCUUUCUGACGUGCUCUUUUCCUACCACGAUAUAUAUAGAGAUUUAAUUAAAAGUACAGCUCUAGCUGAAGGAAAUCUUUCCUAAAUUGCUCUCUUCUCCUCCCCCAUCACACAUUAAUUUGUAUGUACAAUGCAAAAAGACACUGCUUCGUGCCCAACAUUCUCCUGUUCUUACUGCCCCACAUUGUGCUGUGUGUGUUGUCCCACGCCUUGUUGCCAUGAAGGCAUCAGAAUGCUCUCAUGUUCUCCUGUGGCUGGAGUCACAGGACAAAAUGUCUGUCAGGUUUGCAGGAGCCCUUGCCAAAACUCAAAAUUACAGCAAUAUAGACUGGCUGGAGCACAGAGAAGGAGGAUCACAAAAUCCUCCUUUACAUCACUGGAAGAAGGCAGAAGGCAGCGAGUCCCAAACACACAGCAAAAUUAAUUUAUUUUUCUCAUCUUUCAAAAGUCAGUGAUACAGAAAGACAUAUUUUCUCUAAGAAAACAUUGAAAGACAUUUGAUUAAAGACUGGUUCUGCUCAGAGGGCACAGUUGCAUAAUGAUCUAAGAGCAAAGUGCUGGGUACCAUGUCUUCAUGGUACAAGUUAAAAAACAAAAAGGAUGAUUAAUCUCAUAUGUAUCAUCUGUAUAAGUCCCAGUACUUAAUUGCACUGCAAUGUUUGAAUGGCAUUUUUGUAAGAAAGCUUGAUCGCUUUGACGAUAUUGUAAAACAUUGCUGAGGAGACAGAAGCAACUAGUUUGUUUACUUAAUUUCCCUUAAAUACAGUCCAAAUUAGAGUGCACAAGAAAUCUGUCUUAAAAUUAAGUCACUUUAAAAACAAAUGUGACUACUAAGGAGAAUUCUGCCUGAAAUGAACAAAUCCACUUACAUGCCUUUGUUUCUUAUUAGGCCAUUAGCCCUAAUAGGCACUGUGUCUGAAGUGCUCUGCAUGCCCUCAGCCACAGCUGAACACAGUUGACUGGGAACAGAUGUACUUCAGACACAGUGGCCUCACUCCUUUGCAAACUUGAACAUAUGAACUCUCCUCACAGCUGCAGUGCAGAAAACAUCUGUCUUAAACCCUGAUGGGUGGGAGCAACAGCAGACUAGGCAAGGUCAUUAAGUGGCUUCAGGUGAAGCCUUUGGAGUCUCAAAGAGAAGAAUUCCUUUCUUGUUCCCUGGUGUGAAGCCAUGCAGGGUGAAGCUUGCUGGGCUAGACUGGAUUUCUUUACCCUGGCAACUCUGAAAAAGUAAGACGUGUCAUCCAAAUUAUUAAUACAUAGUGAAAAUAAUUGUAAGCCUAUUUAAAUGUAAGUUCUUUUAUAUUGUAUUACUGUGCUAAACCUCUUAGCAAUUAAGGAAAAAAAAAAAUUAAGACAGAAAAAAAAAUGUACCUCCUUGUAAUCCCUUCUCCUGCCGAAAGCACAGCAGAUGUUUGAUUCCCAUGUUUACGUCUUUGGAGACAGGCGUAAAAAAUUGUGUUAACAGGCAGGCAACCGUAAGUAUUCUCUGUUUAGGCAUUUAAGUAUUCUUGCCACCACAGAUGAACAGAACGAAAUUGGAAAAUCCACUGGGCUGUACACUUUUUUUCCAUGAGGGUUGCUCUGUGUGGAGCAAUGCAGAGGUUUUGCGAUAGGCAGGAAAGAUUUCUGGCUCCCUCACUGGAAAAGGAGCUGGAGUGGGGUCACUGCCUGCUCCCUUCUGCCAUCUGAGGAGGUGAGGGGGUCUUUUGAGGAAAGGUAGAGAGAAAAGGGGCAUCUCAACUCCAUUAGACCUGUCCCCCAUAGAUGUAUGGGACCAUGCUACUCUCUGGGCACUCAGUGUGCAAAACGAAGCCCAGGACCAUCAAGCCACCAAUUAGGGACGACAGCCUAGAACCCUGUGCAGCCCAGCCUUCCGUGUGUUCAGGCUUGGAUCCUGUUUCAUAAAGAACUGGGGCCAGCGUAGUUUAUUUGACCUGAGUGAACAAGAGAUUUCAGAGUGCCUCUGGUGUUUCUUGACCGAAGACAAACGGACUGCUUGCUUUUUGUCAGGAGUUCUAAAGCUUUCUUAGGCUUUGCUCAGAAGUGAAAUUAUAAAUGAAAAAACAAAGAUCAAAAAAAACCCAGUAUUUUGUGUUUUUUCAGUCUUUUGAAACUGCUGAGCUGGUUUAUAGUUAUCCAGAAAAGGUAAACAGAAAGUUACUGAAUUAGGUUUCCAUGUAGACAUUGAGCUAAAGGCAUUAUGACGACAACAUUGCAUUCAUCAGCUGUCUUAAAUGUUUGCAGCUGAUGUUGUGUGUUUUCAACAAUUAAUGUUAUAUUGCAUUUGAAAGAUGGAGUAGAGAGAUUCAGGAACAGAGAGCAUGAGAUCCACAGCAACACCUAGCCACAGAAGCUACAGAAAAAGAAGCUAAAACUGAAGUCAGGACAAAUGUGAUUAUGGCAAUGCAGUCUUAACUGGUGGCAGUGGCUGGAAGCAGCUGUGGGAUGUGCUGGGAAGCUGAGAUUGCUACCUGCCCAGAGUGUGGGAACAGCAGGGGUGUAUUUGCAUAAUGAUGCAAGCUAAUGUUAGGAGCUACUGGGCUCCCAGACGGGAUGUUACCAAGAGCUCCUUUGCUGUGGGGGGAAGACUUGAAUCUUGGAUUAAAAUAAAAAAUAAAAAUUGGAGGUGGGAAAGAAAUGAGUGCUUGCUUGCCCAUGCACAAGCUCUUUGGAAGAGCAGCUCAUAGUAAAUUUGUGCUUUGGAUGAAUGUGCCAAGUCCUCUUUUCCAAUCAUAUACCUUCUGUGAAAGACCUGCAUGGCAUGGUGAGAAAAUAGUUAUAUUUUAAUUUCCAAGGUUGACAGAAAAAAAAAAUGGGACUGUGCAUGGUGUUUUGUAGUGCCAGGUCCCGUGUGCCUUGAAUGUCACGAUGUGGCCUUUCUCACACACCGCCCUUCCCUUGAACCCUGGAACUAAACAUGCACUUUGCUCUUUCUUUGGACAACUCAUAAAAAUUUAAGUUCUUCAUUCGUGUGGAAAUUCUGCAUUUUUCAAACGUUAAACAGAAAAAUCUUAACCUUGGAGGCUUCAGAAAACUCAGAUGAGAACAUAGCCAGGUACAAUCUAGAACUGACAUGCAACUCUCUCUGGAAAACUUUCUUAUUUAGCUACAUAACAAGGACCAUCUCCAUCUUGCAGUGAACUCCCUGCUAUCCAAGAUAAAACAUUCGGCUGAGGUGUUAUGCAGUUCCCAAAGUGCCUGGAGGCACAUAUUUGCAGCCUACAGAAUUGUUUAUGCAAGACUAAGAAAGGGAACCUAGAGUGAUAUGGCCUCCUCUGGUAAAGUCAGACCAAAAAAAAAUCUCACUUACACAUAACCAAAAACCCUCCAGGCCUGUCCUCAGGCAAAAAGCUUGGCAGCCAUCCCAUACUGGAGCUCUGCCCAGCCACAUGGGAGAGCUGAGGGCUACCCAUGGGCAACUCCCACUCUGAGAUGCACAGCUUCUGGACUGGUUCUGCUGCUGGCAUGGGGGAAAGGGUGAGCAGGGAGGCAGCUGCAGCCCAGAUCACAAGUAACCUUGCUGCAGAGUGUAGUUGCUGUUUGUGCUCUGUGUGACACAAGCAUUGAGCUCUCCACAGCGGGGCUGUGUCCUUACAGAUGAGUAGCUAGGCUGCUGGUGUCUGUGAGUGGGCUUGGAGUCUAGUCCCAGGUAAAGCACAUCGUAAAGGCUGGUGCAGGGCAAAGUUAAUGCUCAUGCUAACGAGGACGAUGGUCUGUAUUUGGCUUUCUGGCUCGAAUCUUUUUACCACCUCCUCUAGGUAGAUAUAAUUAAUAGUGCGAUUGUAUGUCUUAGAUAUCAGCUAAUGAAUAAUUUCGCAAAUCGUAGUUAGCAUCUGAGGAGAACUCCAUGGCCGUUGUGAAAAUUGGACCUCCACUCAUCAGGCAGCAGGGCUGUCUGAUAAGUAGCUUCACAGCAUGAAAGGGCCUAUUCUUGUCUUCCUGAAUGGCAGAGAUUUGGAGGAGACAUUUGGAGAUGAGUGAAAAUGAAAGAAAUAAUAAAGUAAGUGAACCUGACAAAAGAGUAAAGCUCCAAAGAAUAAAGAAUAAAAUUAGAGAAAUACAGGACUGCUUUUCUAUUCUCUCUUACGUCCACCUUCUGCCCAGAGAUGGGCAAAGUCUAAUGUCCCAUCUUCAGGAGAAAUCACAGUUGCAGUCAUAUUGCUUGCCUAGCAGAGUGAGGAGGCAAUCUUAGUUGCUUCAGAAAGAGCAUUUUUUGUGUGCAGGUAAAAGGAAAGGUUGCACUUUCAGAGCUGAUAGUGAAGUUGUUUGCUGGCUCGAAGCUUGUGCUAAUGCAGAAAGUGACACAUCAGGAUGUACGAACUCAUCAGAGCUCUGCUUGGGCAGGUUGAUCCUCUGCCUGCCUCUGGCUUUGCACAGGAGGAGGAGGCAUUGUGUGGGUCACUCACCUCCAGCACGAGGAGGAAGGGUGGAAGAGUUUCCAGGUGUGGGCACAAGGGAGCUGUCAUUAUCAUCCUUCCUCCUCUCCCACAAGAACUAGAGGAGAUGUAGCAAGACAUAUUGGAGAGUGAAGUGUGUGUUUGAAUAGUUGGGGUCUUCUAUCAAAAGCAAAGCAGCUAUAGGUCAAGCAUACUUCAGUUUGCUUAUGUUGGGGGGUUCUGAUUGAUGGCAGGCUGAAUCUGAAUCAGCAGUGCACCCUGGCACACUGUACCCUGUGAAGUAUCAGACCCAGCACUGCUAGCCAAGUGAGGGAAAGAGUUGUCCUGCUCUGCUUUGUGCUGUGCAGCCUCACCUUAAACACUGUGUGCAGGUUUGGGCACAGCAUAAGAAAGUCGUAACACUAUUAGAGAGAAUCCAAAGGAGGAUUACAAAGAUGGUCUGGAGGGCAAAAUGUGUAAGGAGCAGCUGAAGUCCCUUGGUUUGCUCAACCCAGAGCAGAGGCCUCAUGGCGGCUGCAACUCCUCACAGGGGUAGAGUGGCUGUGCUGAUCUCUCUGUUGACAGUGACAUGGCCCAAGGGAAUGGAAUGGAGCUGUGUCAGGGGAUGAUCGGGUCUGGGUGUCAGGAAAAAGUUCUUCAUCAGAGGGUAGUGGGCAUGGAACAGGCUCCCCAGGGCAGUGAGCAUGACCCCAAGCUGGCAGAGUUCAAGGAGCAUUUGGACAACACUCUCAGGCAUAGGGUGUGAAUGUUGUUGUGCUACUGCGUGGAGCCAGGAGUUGGACUCAAAGAUCCUUGCAGGUCUCUUCCAAUUGGAGAUAUUCUAUGGUUACAUAAUUAUUUUGGUGGAAUUCACAGACUUCACAUGCAUCCCCUACUCUCAGUCUGUUUCCUGGGCUUUGCUACUUUAUAUAAGCAAACUUUCACACGAGUUUGGACCGAAAACCCAUGGGAACAUUCUGGACAAAUCUGAAGGUUAGCUGAAGGUCACAGGGAAACCGAAGUGAAUACACAGCAGCGAGCAUGAUGGUGGUGAAGGAAUGAACAAAAUGCCGUUGCUCAUGAUAGGAUCUACAAUUCUAUCUGGUUUGGCUGUUGAGGGAAAUGUGAUAGGAAUAUUUGAGAACCCUGCUCAGUAUGGCAGCAUGGUGGACACCUUUGUUGUCCUGUGUUAGAGCUCUGUCCUCUGAUGGCAAACAAAAAUUCUAAAAUAAAACAAGCCCAAAAGCAGAUAUAAAAUCCCAAAGCACUGCUGGACUUCUUACAGUUUAAUUAAAUGCCUAAUUGGAUUAAGAAAUAAUAAUUUGGAUUAUUGGAUUUACCACACAAUGGUUUUCAAAUGCAUGACAAACCCAACAAUUAAAAACAUUCUGUUAAGUGGGGCAGUAAUUGGAGGUCUCUCAUUCUUCAUGUAUCUUGAAAGUACCUUUCUGAAACCCUCAUUAAGAACACAUAAAUGAAAAAAGGGAGCGGGUUGUUUCACAGGAGUUCUUCGGAAAAAAAGGACUUCACUGGAACUUUGCUCUAAAAUCAUAAUUAUCAGUAACAUUGACUGAUUUGCUGAGCCUGAAUAGUAGCUCAUUUCAGAAGCUCAGUUUUUCUUUACCUGCAUGCCCAUGUAUACCACAUCAGGUAUCUGAACUGAGCAGUAGAAGCAAACAUUUAAGUUCAUUACUCUUGGUCUGUUCUGACUGUAGUACUGACUCUAGUACUGACUCUAGAACUCUAGUUCUGACUCAAUAUCAGCUGCUCUGAAUAGUCUUUCUUGAAAUCUAGAUGUUGCUUAAUCUUGAGGACACCUGGAAGCCAAGGUGUCUGUAGUAAAAGGAACAAACAAGCAGCAUGGAUUCAGCUAGAUCAGUGGUUUUUCAUCUUUCCAGACAAUCAUCUUUUAUAUCUGAUGAAAGGAAAACUGAUUCAGAUGUCUGAAAUUUGAAAACAUGGUUAAAAUGUAAAGAAUGGAAAUUCAGUUAGGAAGCUUGGCACUAGUUCUAGUGCAAAACCCCUUAACCAGACAGAUGUUGCUUUCCUAAAGGAAUUGGAAAUGGUGCAAGGCAAUUUCCAUCACAGAAGCUUGCUUGAAAUGUCACCAAAAUAUGAGUUCCAGUAAUUAUUUCUAGCACUGGACAAAUAUCAUUGUUCCUGACCAGCAAUGUGAAAGUAACACAAAGUGAAUAUGUGGAAUUCUGUCUAAAACAAGCAGCUCCACAUUAUUUGCUCAGCUCAAGAGGAGCACUGUUCCUGUGAAUAUUCACCAUAAUAGAGAUCUGAGCACAGUAUUUCAAUAAUAGCUUAAAUAAUCCUUGAUCAGAGAGCAACAGGCUGGCAUUAACAGCUGGACUGAUUAAAUCUUCCUCAGAUUAAAAUAUAGAGUUGCAGGCCUAACUGCUGUUCCAGAUGACUUAACUGGAGGAGCUGCUCCUUCCUGAUACUCUUGGGGUGCCAAGAGGGAGCAGAGAAGAGCCAUAGUCCCCAGGUAAGGCUGCAGUGGCAUCUACACCUCUGUCCACUCUGAAAAGAAGGGGUACUGGGAAGGGUCCUUGGAGGGAGGCACAUCUUCCCCACAGCAUCCCUAUGUCUGUCUGCCUUUGGUGACCCGAAGGACCAAAGAUACAGUGUAGUCAGUCCUGAUUUACCAUGGGCUGUAAGAGCUGAAGUACUGGUCCCAUCCGGCCCAUCAUCCCACCAGGAUGGGAUGGCAGGACAUGAGACAGAUAUGUAUGCACCUUAUGUGUGCAGUUUCAACUACACUCAGAAAAAAAAAGGCAUGAAAAAGGAUGCCCUGCGUUCAGCCUUUGGUAUUGCAGGCUAUUCCACCAUCUAGAAUUGUAACUUUUUUAAAGACAUCUCUUGCUAAAUCACUGUUGUUUGUUAUCUGCAAAAUAAAGGAAAAUAGGUUGGCAGCAAGUGGAGGUGCUGCACACUUCUGUGCUUGGGAGUGGGAGCUCCCAAACUGAAUCCCAUCUACCCAAGUCUCAAGCCCUGAAAUGCUUAUCUUUGAAGGCUUGCAGGAUAACAAUCUGCAGUUUGUACACACGGAUUCUGAGUUAUUUGGGCAGGUCUGGGAGCACCACAAUAGGCAGCUUAACCAAAUAAUCUACUUGUUCUUAGUGCUUUCCCUCAUUAAAGCGUUUUACAAACGCUGCCUUAAUUAAAGUUCACAGCACUCCUACAAGUUAGUAAAAUGUCAUUAUCCCAAUUUUACAGAUGGAGAAGUUGCAACAGAGAGGUGAAAUGCUUUGCUUGAGGCCUCUGGAGACUGAUUCAGAGGCAGGAUUAACAGUCGGGAGUUUUUGGCUCUGUGCAUCGCAGCCAACCUCUGACGGGGUUGCUCAGAGCAGCACCAGAAACCCUGGCCUGCUAGGGGGUUCUCUGCAGCCCUCUGUGCUGGCCCUGAGAUGGCUAAGGAGCCAAUUUGGCCAGUAACAUCUCCUUUUACUCCCAUGCUUCUUAUCUACCCCAGCUGUGCCAUGCCAGCUUUGUAAUAAGAAGGAGUAAAGCUGCAAUGUGACCUUGCUCUGGCCAUUACAGAAUCUCAAAGCUGUCCUGUAAGCAGAAAGGGACCAAAACAGACUCAGCACCAUCUGGAGCUGGGCCAAGCUGUAGUUGUCCCUGCACCACCUGUGACUGCUGCUGGAUUCAAGGCUUGGGACUUGGUCCUCAAGCCAUGGUGCCUCACUGAGCCACAGACAUAAUAGUGACCACAUGCAUAUCAAGGGUAAUUAGCAAGCUGAUUCAAACUCUGGUCCAGACAGCUUGCCAUUUGCAACCCAUCUGAGCAGUGUAGGGUGCAAACUUCUACUCUGAGUCAUGCAGCACAGACCUGGAGUUGGGUGUCCCACCCUUGAGGCCUCCACCCUAGCCAGAAAGCUCAGAAGGGUGCAGCUGACACUCCUGCACCUUCUAUUUUCAUGUAAAUGUUCAGAUUUCAUUUUUCCCAUACAAAAGGUAACCCCCUUUCUAUGUCUAAUAUAUAUGUAUAUAUAUAUAUAUAGUAUAUAUAUAUAUAUAAUAUAUAUAUCACCACAAAGCAGGACUAUCAGCCACUGCUCAGAUGCAAUUCCAAAAGUGGACAUUGAACAUUUGGGUUGGAAGGCACCUCAGGAGGUCGACAGUCUCACCUUCUGCUGGGUUGGCUCUGAGAUCUAUCUGAUCAGGGCACUCAGGUUUUAUCCAGGUAGGUCUGGAAAAUGUACAAGGAUGGAGGCAGUUCAACAGCCCAGGGCAAACUGCUCCAAUACGUGGCUUCCUCACAGUGAUUUCCUCCCCCAGUGUUCUGUUGGAAGCAGUUGGAUAAUUGUCCUAAAAAGAAAUGUGUUAUUUCAUCUGGUUGUGACCAUUCCAAUUAAUAUUUUUCUUUGCUUGAACCUCUGCUGAAGAAUUUCAAGAGUCCAGACAGCUUUCCUAUAGAUUUUAGCACAAUAGCACACUGUCAAGAUCUCAUGCUUCAGGCUCAUGAUUACAUCUGAAAUUUGACAAGAGCAUAUCUUUUUUUUUUUUCUUCCCAGAAAGCAGCAGCUUUUUAAAGACUCGAGUGUUGUUUCAUUUUUCCCCCUCAUUUUAAUGAGAUACUGCUUUCAGACCUCUGUAACAGAAUACAGAUCAGAGGUCUCUAAAGUGCUCAAGUUUACAUCACGUCUUAAUACCCUAAGGCAUAGGUAUCAUGAUUGUGAUAUACUGCUGAGAUUCACCUAUUAUAUUCAUGUUGCAUCAGUAAUAUUAGUCACUUGUUACUUUCUGGAAAUUCUUUUAUAGAAACAUAAUUCUCAACUUUUCUUGUAGAGUUCUUUCUAUAUUUACUUUCUUGACUUGAGGGAAAGAAAAAAAAAAAGGGGGGGGGGGAAAACUGCAGCACAGGUUCCAAUCUUUACAAGGAAUUACAAUGACACCAUUUUGCUGCUGCCUUCUGCAAAUCUGCAGACUCUGAAGUAACAGUGGGACCAACGGCCAAGGUAUGAAUCUCCUCUUAGUGGUUAUAUCUAUAUUAAACCAUGAUCUUCACACAGUGUGGUCUCAGGCACAUGAAAGAGGAAUGUAGGUCUCCUUUGGCCCUUGCUGUAAGAAUUUGUGCCACGAUUCUGUGUUAGAGUAAUCCUAAGCAUCAAGCUGGUUGUGCCCGUAACUGUAUGUGAGGCAGCUGUGAAAUAUUCUGCUUUGUCAGCUUUGUCCUAUGUACAAGCAUCACUGUACCUGCACAUCACAAGGCAGAGCUGAGGCUCGGUCCCAGACACCUGCCAUGGGACUCACAUAGUGAGCAAGAGCCAGAAAUCAAUGGACUAGCAUAAGUGUGUGAGGAGCUGGGUGUAACAGAUGGGAGAUAUGGAAGUGAGGACAGACUAUUCCGCAGUUGGUCUUUCCUAGGAGUAUUAGUAGAAGGAUACUCUCCAUGGAAUGAAAUAUGAAGGGCUACUGCCCUAAAGCUGAUGUUUGUUCGCUUAUCUUGAGGACCAUGUCCUCCUACACCUCAAACACUGCAAAUGUGAGAGCAGUAACCAGUGGCCACACUUAAGGACAAUCAUUGAAGCCCCAGUGUGAGUCACUCUGCUUUCUUCUCCCUCCUGAGUCCCUGCUGCCCUCAUUGUCACUCUGGCCUCAUCUUUCACCUGCUCCUCCUAGCAGCAGGAGGGGAUGCUCGUGGCAGCCAGCUCUGCCUUGCUGGAGGGGAGAAGUGAAGCAGGAAAACCUGAUCAGACCAACAGACUGAUGUGAGUACUACACAUUCCGGGUUUCACAGUGAGCCAGCCAUAUGAACACUCUUGUCACUCUGCACUUAACAUUUCACUGAAAAUUCUGCGCACAUAGCUCUUGCAGACAAAAUAGUUGAGGGCACUCCACAUCCUUUUAAAAGCAGGCAGUUGCUGUCUUGAAAUGACAUCGUGGUAAAGGGGACACACGAUUCUAUCAAUUUGCUAUCCUACUAGAGCAAAGAGAUAUUGAAUUAAGUACAGAGAAGAAAAAAAAAAAUCAAUAGAGUUUUGUGGAGUUUCCCCUAAAUUUAGUUUGGAAGAUCUUAUUUGUGCCAAAGCCCUCAGCUUCUGUCCCUGACAUCUCACUUCAGGGCUCUAAAUGCACACAAAGCUCAGGAGCAAUCUCAUCAAGGCUCACAAACGGGACAUGGCAACACAGCCAGCAGGACCCACGAGCCUGAAGACUUUAGUGAUAGGUUUGCACAGCAGCUUGUGAGAAGCGUACUGCAUGUGCUUCUGGCAGCCUGCACAGCUCAUAUGGAAGAGCUGCUGCAUGGAGAUGAUCUGGGAAGCAGCACCAUGCACACUGACGGCUGUCACCUGGAGAGGUGUGCAGCCUUUCCCCAAGCACAGCUCAAAAUGAGUUUCUGCUGUAAUAACGCACGCAGUGCCUGAGGCCAGAUUUUGACUACUGAAUGGGUCCUUGCACUGUGAACAGACUCCCCAAAGCUAGUGGGAGUCUGUUCAGAGUAAUAUGUUACUCACUGUGAGCAAAUGAACCACAGCAUGGUUCAAAUAAUAUUAAAGGGCCCAAGUCCAAAAACCACAUUUCCAGCUGCUAAGAACUGCAUCAGGCGUGGAGUUUCCCAGUAGCGUCACCUGCAUGGGUAGAAUUACCCACAUGCACAAGUAGGAUCAGCACCAUUUUCUUUGGGUAAGGAUUGCCUGUCUGUGUCUUGUAAGAGUAAUUGCAUAUUCUGCCUGGUCUUAAAUUGUAACAGUGGACGCAAACUAUCGAAACUGGAAGAAGGAUUGCAAGUGUGUUUUCUUGCCAUACUCUAUUUUCAUAGGCAAAAUACCUGGUGUAGGAGAAACACACAAAAGAAGUGGCAAAACCCCAUACCUUCUACUUUGUGUAGUGCAAGAAAUGCUGCAGUCUCCAAAGGUUUAUUCCAAAACCAAUGGUUAUGUGCACUCUCAAUCUGCAAGACAGAUAUUGAAGAAAAGCAAAUAAUAUACUAGCACACCUUAUUUGUCUCCCCACAAAAAGAAAGGAAAGUCAUUUAUUGCAGUAAGCAAACACAGCAGACACAGCAGACACAGCAGAGACUGAAACCCACUGCUAUUUCAUGGAAAACAUUAUUUGUAUCCUACAUUAUUUUCACAUCAAUGGUGAAAUGCUAUUGGUGAGAAAAGGGGAGUUAUGGAAGGAAGUGCUCACACCAGGAACACAACA
ensembl:lncRNA